CAGCAGCCGCGGGAAUACGUAGGUGGCGAGCGUUGUCCGGAAUUAUUGGGCGUAAAGGGCUCGCAGGCGGUUUCUUAAGUCUGAUGUGAAAGCCCCCGGCUCAACCGGGGAGGGUCAUUGGAAACUGGGAAACUUGAGUGCAGAAGAGGAGAGUGGAAUUCCACGUGUAGCGGUGAAAUGCGUAGAGAUGUGGAGGAACACCAGUGGCGAAGGCGACUCUCUGGUCUGUAACUGACGCUGAGGAGCGAAAGCGUGGGGAGCGAACAGGAUUAGAUACCCCUGUAGUCCCUGUCUCUUAUAU
rnacentral:rRNA from 1 species